GACGAACGCUGGCGGCGUGCUUAACACAUGCAAGUCGAACGGAAAGGCCCUGCUUUUGUGGGGUGCUCGAGUGGCGAACGGGUGAGUAACACGUGAGUAACCUGCCCUUGACUUUGGGAUAACUUCAGGAAACUGGGGCUAAUACCGGAUAGGAGCUCCUGCUGCAUGGUGGGGGUUGGAAAGUUUCGGCGGUUGGGGAUGGACUCGCGGCUUAUCAGCUUGUUGGUGGGGUAGUGGCUUACCAAGGCUUUGACGGGUAGCCGGCCUGAGAGGGUGACCGGCCACAUUGGGACUGAGAUACGGCCCAGACUCCUACGGGAGGCAGCAGUGGGAAAUAUUGCACAAUGGGCGGAAGCCUGAUGCAGCAACGCCGCGUGCGGGAUGACGGCCUUCGGGUUGUAAACCGCUUUCGCCUGUGACGAAGCGUGAGUGACGGUAAUGGGUAAAGAAGCACCGGCUAACUCCGUG
rnacentral:rRNA from 1 species